AAUCAACGCUGGCGGCGUGCCUAACACAUGCAAGUCGAGCGAUGAAGUUCCCUUCGGGGGAUGGAUUAGCGGCGGACGGGUGCGUAACACGUGGGCAACCUGCCUCAUAGUGGGGGAUAGCCUCCCGAAAGGGAGAUUAAUACCGCAUAAGAAGUGGAAACAGCAUGGUUUCAGCCUUAAAGGAGUAAUCCGCUAUGAGAUGGGCCCGCGGCGCAUUAGCUAGUUGGUAAGGUAAUGGCUUACCAAGGCAACGAUGCGUAGCCGACCUGAGAGGGUGAGCGGCCACAUUGGAACUGAGAUACGGUCCAGACUCCUACGGGAGGCAGCAGUGGGGAAUAUUGCACAAUGGGGGAAACCCUGAUGCAGCAACGCCGCGUGGGUGAUGAAUGUCUUCGGAUUGUAAAGCCCUGUCUUUUGGGACGAUAAUGACGGUACCAAAGGAGGAAGCCACGGCUAACUACGUGCCAGCAGCCGCCGUAACAC
rnacentral:rRNA from 1 species